rnacentral:rRNA from 1 species
UACAGAGGUCUCAAGCGUUGUUCGGAUUCAUUGGGCGUAAAGGGUGCGUAGGCGGCGCGGUAAGUCGGGUGUGAAAUCUCGGAGCUUAACUCCGAAACUGCAUUCGAUACUGCCGUGCUUGAGGACUGGAGAGGAGACUGGAAUUUACGGUGUAGCGGUGAAAUGCGCAGAUAAUCAGGAGGAACACCGGUGGCGAAGGCGGAUCUCUGGGCCAUUACUGACGCUGAGGAGCGAAAGCGUGGGGAGCGAACAGG